UAGGGAAUCUUCGGCAAUGAGGGCAACCCUGACCGAGCAACGCCGCGUGAGUGAAGAAGGUUUUCGGAUCGUAAAGCUCUGUUGUAAGUCAAGAACGGGUGUGAGAGUGGAAAGUUCACACUGUGACGGUAGCUUACCAGAAAGGGACGGCUAACUACGUGCCAGCAGCCGCGGUAAUACGUAGGUCCCGAGCGUUGUCCGGAUUUAUUGGGCGUAAAGCGAGCGCAGGCGGUUUGAUAAGUCUGAAGUUAAAGGCUGUGGCUCAACCAUAGUUCGCUUUGGAAACUGUCAAACUUGAGUGCAGAAGGGGAGAGUGGAAUUCCAUGUGUAGCGGUGAAAUGCGUAGAUAUAUGGAGGAACACCGGUGCGAAAGCGGCUCUCUGGUCUGUAACUGACGCUGAGGCUCGAAAGCGUGGGGAGCGAACAGGAUUAGAUACCCUGGUAGUCCACGCCGUAAACGAUGAGUGCUAGGUGUUGGAUCCUUUCCGGGAUUCAGUGCCGCAGCUAACGCAUUAAGCACUCCGCCUGGGGGAGUACGACCGCAAGGUUGAAAC
rnacentral:rRNA from 1 species